rnacentral:lncRNA from 1 species
GCCCAAGGCUCAUCACCUGUACAUUUUCAAGUAGAGAAAAGCACUAGCGAAAACAUACACAAACGGCAUACACGAGGAUAAACAAUAGCCAUGAGUGAAAGAAAGGAAACUAAACAUCUACUCAAGUAUUAUGAUUCACUUUUGAUCACAUACAUUUCAUUCAACCAUUCCAUUUUUCUUUACAUUGCUUUUCAUCAUCUCUUUUCAUAUCAUAUUUGCUCAAAAUAAACAUUACAUUCUUUUUCUCAUUUGCUUUAUACAUAAACAUCUUCAAAUACAAAAGAAGAUAUAUGGUGGCUACUAACAAAAUGCAAAACCC